GAUGAACGCUGGCGGCGUGCCUAAUACAUGCAAGUCGAGCGAACGGACGAGAAGCUUGCUUCUCUGAUGUUAGCGGCGGACGGGUGAGUAACACGUGGAUAACCUACCUAUAAGACUGGGAUAACUUCGGGAAACCGGAGCUAAUACCGGAUAAUAUUUUGAACCGCAUGGUUCAAAAGUGAAAGACGGUUUUGCUGUCACUUAUAGAUGGAUCCGCGCUGCAUUAGCUAGUUGGUAAGGUAACGGCUUACCAAGGCAACGAUGCCUAGCCGACCUGAGAGGGUGAUCGGCCACACUGGAACUGAGACACGGUCCAGACUCCUACGGGAGGCAGCAGUAGGGAAUCUUCCGCAAUGGGCGAAAGCCUGACGGAGCAACGCCGCGUGAGUGAUGAAGGUCUUCGGAUCGUAAAACUCUGUUAUUAGGGAAGAACAUAUGUGUAAGUAACUGUGCACAUCUUGACGGUACCUAAUCAGAAAGCCACGGCUAACUACGUG
rnacentral:rRNA from 1 species